GGAAGAACACCAGUGGCGAAGGCGGCUCUCUGGACUGUAACUGACGCUGAGGCACGAAAGCGUGGGGAGCGAACAGGAUUAGAUACCCUGGUAGUCCACGCCGUAAACGAUGAGUGCUAGGUGUCGGGAGUCAAAUCUCGGUGCCGGAGUAAACACAAUAAGCACUCCGCCUGGGGAGUACGGUCGCAAGACUUAAACUCAAAGGAAUUGACGGGGGCCCGCACAAGCAG
rnacentral:rRNA from 1 species